GAAAGUUGUGGGGAGGAAGACUGGAGGGUGCAUGGCUCACCUGCCCCAGGGUGACUUCCUCUGACUUCCUGGGCCACAACACAAGCCACUGGUGCCCAUGAAUGUGCUGAUUGGCUGCUUGAUGGGGAUGCCCAGUCAUCUCAGCAGCACUGCCAAUUCACCUGCCCUCUGACUCUGCAGAGCCCAGCCUCCCAGCACAGGAAACUCCCUCAGGGCCAAGAAGUCAAGGGUCUGCUCAGGCAUUCAUCUCUCUUCAGUGGCUCUCCACAUUCAGCCUUCCUCUGCCCAGACAGUAUCAGCCAAAUGGAAACUCACUAGCCAAAAGCUGUAUUUAAGCAAGUAUUCUGUUUGGACAUCAAAGGAAACAUACCAGUGAAAAUGAUAAUAAACAAUAAUGAUCACCAUCAUUUAAAAAAGACAACAUCAGUGCCUACAGUUCCAAUGAGACCCUGGAGUGUCAGUCGCUUUAUCUGCAAAUACAAAAUGCAACUCACCUGCCUCUUCAGCCUCUCUAAACUGCGUGUGCACAGGAAAGGCCAGGAACUAACUGACACCCCCUCCCCUCGGGAAAGUCAAAGGCUGCGAGCUCCAUCUAAGAACUUGGACAACAGCCGCUCUCAGGCCGGCAGCACAGACCUGGAGGAAAACGCCUUCUCGCCUGAGCCCGCCCUUUCCGUUCUGUGGGUGCCUGCUCUCCCUUCCUCAGGUGGUGUCACUCUUGUUGGAAACUUCAGGAAAUGCCUAGCGGAACAACUUCUGACGGCAGAGACAAGUAGCAGAGUUGUUUCUGGAGAGCAUAAUAGGUGUGCCUUCCAUUAGUAAAGCAGAUUAAAAGAAAA